rnacentral:rRNA from 1 species
UACGAAGGGGGCUAGCGUUGUUCGGAAUCACUGGGCGUAAAGCGCACGCAGGCGGAUUGAUAAGUCAGGGGUGAAAUCCCGGGGCUCAACCUCGGAAUUGCCUUUGAUACUGGGUAUCUUGAGUAUGGAAGAGGUAAGUGGAAUUGCGAGUGUAGAGGUGAAAUUCGUAGAUAUUCGCAGGAACACCAGUGGCGAAGGCGGCUUACUGGUCCAUUACUGACGCUGAGGUGCGAAAGCGUGGGGAGCAAACAGG